rnacentral:rRNA from 1 species
GAUGAACGCUGGCGGUAUGCUUAACACAUGCAAGUCGAACGGUCACUUCGGUGAUAGUGGCGGACGGGUGAGUAACGCGUGAGAAUCUGUCUUCAGGUCGGGGACAACAGUUAGAAAUGACUGCUAAUACCGGAUGUGCCUUUGGGUGAAAGAUUUAUUGCCUGAAAAAGAGCUCGCGUCAGAUUAGCUAGUAGGUGGUGUAAGAGACUACCUAGGCUCCGAUCUGUAGCUGGUCUGAGAGGACGAUCAGCCGCACUGGAACUGAGACACGGUCCAGACUCCUACGGGAGGCAGCAGUGGGGAAUUUUCCGCAAUGGGCGAAAGCCUGACGGAGCAAUACCGCGUGAGGGACGAAGGCUUUUGGGUCGUAAACCUCUUUUCUCAAGGAAGAUGAUGACGGUACUUGAGGAAUAAGCAUCGGCUAACUCUGUG